rnacentral:rRNA from 1 species
UACGGAGGGUGCGAGCGUUAAUCGGAAUUACUGGGCGUAAAGAGUGCGUAGGUGGUUAAUUAAGUUAUCUGUGAAAUCCCUGGGCUCAACCUGGGCAGGUCAGAUAAUACUGUUUAACUCGAGUAUGGGAGAGGGUAGUGGAAUUUCCGGUGUAGCGGUGAAAUGCGUAGAGAUCGGAAGGAACACCAGUGGCGAAGGCGGCUACCUGGCCUAAUACUGACACUGAGGCACGAAAGCGUGGGGAGCAAACAGG